GGCAUACCUAGGAUUAGAGGAACCAAUUUUGGAGGAAAAAAAGGAUAUUGAGGAGCAACAUUUUGCUUGCAAGUCCGAUGUUGCCAUUCACUUUAAUGUCGCAUAAGUGAUAAAGAGAUCAGCUUCAGGUUGCUUUCAAAAUCAUAAAAUUUCACUCGGUUCUGUAUUAUUAUUCUUGUAAUGUCAAAUUUCAUUUUCUAGUG
rnacentral:misc_RNA from 1 species